CACGUAGGGCGCAAGCGUUGUCCGGAAUUAUUGGGCGUAAAGAGCUCGUAGGCGGUCUGUUGCGUCCGCUGUGAAAACUCGGGGCUUAACCCCGAGCCUGCAGUGGAUACGGGCAGACUAGAGGUAGGUAGGGGAGAAUGGAAUUCCCGGUGUAGCGGUGAAAUGCGCAGAUAUCAGGAGGAACACCGGUGGCGAGGGCGGGUCUCUGGGCCGUAACUGACGCUGAGGAGCGAAAGCGUGGGGAGCGAACAGG
rnacentral:rRNA from 1 species